ensembl:lncRNA
CUGGACGUGCUCUUUAUUCCCAUAAGUUCAUAUUUUCAGGUUGGCACCUGAGCCGGUUAAUCUUCACUGUCACCUGGACUUGGUGAAGAGCAAGAGGAACUAUGGAUCAGGAGCCACACUUUGGUCCACCAUGGCCAUCCGCCAUGAUGUGUCUCCCUUGGAGCAGCUGACCAUGGACUGAACCCUCUGAAACCAAACCUGCCGGGAUUUACAAAAGGCAGAAUUGUCAAGUGUUCUGCGGUGACACAGGCUGAGUCCCCCCGCCCCCAUCCUACAUCCCAACGACAGCCUGCGGGCCCCUCCGCGGACACCAGAGGCCUCCAGCCCGCAGGGGUGAGGCAGGAACCGAGCCCGUGCCUCAGUGUCUCCUCGCUGUUCACACCCGGCGUCACCUUUGGGGUGUGACGCCCGGGCCCCCGCCUCCGGAAGUGACAGAUGGAGAACGCGAUCCCAGCCUCGAGCGCCUCCAGCCCCAUCCAGCGCCCAGUCCGGACUUC